rnacentral:misc_RNA from 1 species
UCAGUCGGGAGUUGUGCAGCCGGUAGGUCGUUGCUCCAGGAUUUUAAGGCAGAUUCGGAAGAAAGUUCUGCCAAAGUGUUUUAAUAUAUCCAAAAAUCUUCCAGUAACUGCAUUUUUUGGGCAAACUAUCGGCUGGUACGAGAGUUUUGAUAAGGCAAGAAAUCCAAAAGACCGAAUCAGCAAGAUGGCACAGGAGACGAAGACCGUGGCGGCAGCCAAAGACCAGAACCAGCGAGACCAUAUCGACGAGGAAGAAGUCAUCGAACUCCACAAGUCACGCAGCUUUUACGAUCGGGUUCGGGAACAGGCGGAGCGAUUUGCCAGCACGCGAGUUGGCCAAUUCGUGAUCGAAAGGGGCGAUAAAGCGCUGGCCAUGAUCGAGGAUACUGCCAAGUGGAGUCUUCCGCAAGACAAGUCUUCUGCUCCCUUGGAACGCCCCCUGCCUUGGGCUCCAUUCCUGAUGCUCAUCGUCCUGCUGCGGCUCACACGCAUUUGGUUAUCGGUUGGCGCCCUGAUGAUCGGCAAUGGUCCAAUAUCUCCCACGGAUAUGGUCUACUUUAUACAGACUAGACGCCGCAAGCUGCGGGCCAUUCGGGUUCAUGGCCUAAAGGUGAUGAGACGGCGCCAGCAGGAGGUGUCCUACGGCAGUGGCAAAGGUAUGACCCAGAAGCUCAAUCAGUGGUUUUCCCGAGCCAUGUGCCGUCCAGGAGUUCAGCAGGAUAGCAGCAGUCGCCGUGUGUUUGUUCGCCAUUCGGAGCAGGGUCUAAGCAAUUCCGUGGUUAAGCGCCCUCGGGAGGAGGACUGCAAUGCCGAUGCCGACCUGACCAUUGACCAAAUGCUGGCCAAGUAUGCCAACGAGAACUCCGAAGAUGACUCCGACUUUGUGCCCAAUGAGGAGGAGGAGGAGAGCAGCAGCAGUAACAGCAGCGGGGACAGCGAAUCCGAAUCCGGUUCCAGCGAAGGAAUAAGCAGCGGCGAGGUGGAUGAGGUUGUCAGCCAGGCCAAGCAGAAAUCAGCUGGAGCGGUGGUGGAAAACGGAGUGCACAAGGCCGAGGAGAAGGAAAAUGAUAAGGGAAAACUGAACGUAACGACAACCAGCAAUGGCAACAACGACAAGGAGCAGGCGGAAGUUGGUAAUGGACAUUGAACAUUAUUAAGACUCUCGUGCGUAGCCCCCUAAGUCUAGGUUAACUCCAAGUAUCGAUUAUCGAAUUAAGCGUUGAUGAAAACUGAACUUGAAACGUUGUCAUGAAAUACAAUACAAUACCGAUACAACAAUACACUUAGUCAUUUCCGUAGAUCAUCCAUCCAUUUGCAGGCCCGAAAAAGAAAAUCCAAAAUUAGUCACCAAGCCACUUCUGCUGCCCAGCCGGAUGAGGAGUGGAAAUCUUCGCCAGGACACAUGAGCGCCGCCGUGAUGAACACCCGACUGUACAACAAUGCCGUCGCUGCAGGUUCACCCACUUGCUUCAAUACUAGCCUAGGAACCCAAGCUCUCCUCAAGAGGGCCAGCAUUCAAUCCGUCCUGGCCCACUCCACGCCCACGACGGAGGUGAGAGAUCAACCCACUGAAGAGGCAAACCACUCGGUGCCUCAAACACCGGAGACCGGGAAAACUCAGCCCCAAACACCCAAGGAAGUCCAUAAUCAAAAUCAGCAGCAAAAUCAACAGCAGCGCCAACGCAAUCAUCCCCACCAACGCUAUCGUGGACGCAAUCGGCGCUAGUCCUUUGAAGGAUAUCCAUAUCAUAUCUUUUGAAUUUCCUCUUAGCCAGCUAGCCAUUCUUCUAUUUUUUUUACAUUCCCAUAUUGUUAGUAAAUACUGCGAGUAAAUCUCUGAACUUAA